UUAAAGACCUGAAAACAAUACUAGGUAACUGAUGCCAUCAAAAUGUCAAAUAUAUGCACAAGCAAAAGCUUCUUUUAUGAGUUAAACUCCAGAGUGAUCACCAGGCAAACUUCAACAUGAAAGAUACGCCCAGUAUGAAAUGGAACAGAUGAAAUUUGAUGUUGCAUUAUUUAAGAUGUAAGAAAGGACUAUGAAGGAAUGCACAUCCAUAAAGACCUAAAAGUAGCUCAGGCUGAGAUUUUGAAUUGGGUAGUGUCAAAAGGAAUACAGUCUCGCACUUGGCAAAAGGAGAUCAUGCCAACAAGAUUUAUCUUACUUGGAUCCAGGAAUCAGUCUACCAGACACACGACUGUUUUGCUUCUUGGGAAUUAUAUUUGAAAAGUUUGGUUGCAAACCUUCCUCUUAUAUGGUUUUUUAACUUACUUCAUGGGUCCGGAAGACAGUGGUGAAAGCAUUUAGCUCCAUCCAACGCAAAAGCAACUCUUCACUUCUUGUAUAGUUUAUAAAAGGUUUAAUCAUGUCAUGCAUUACCUGCAACCAAAAUGCUGAAACGGGAACAUUAUAAGUCCUUAGCUUAUCCCAAGUAUCGCGUACGG